rnacentral:rRNA from 1 species
GACGAACGCUGGCGGCGUGCUUAACACAUGCAAGUCGAACGGAAAGGCCCGUUUGUGGGUACUCGAGUGGCGAACGGGUGCGUAACACGUACGUAUCCUUCCCUUAACUUCGGGAUAACUUCAGGAAACUGGGGCUAAUGCCGGUAAGGGAUCAUUGCUGCAUGGGGGGGGUUGGAAAGCUUCGGCGGUUAUGGAUGGACUCGCGGCUUAUCAGCUUGUUGGUGGGGUAGUGGCUUACCGAGGCGUUGACGGGUAGCAGGCCUGCGGAGGCGACCGGCCACAUUGACACUGAGAGACGGCCGAGGCUCCGACGGGAGGGAGAAGGGGGGAAGAUUGACAGAUGGGCGGAGGCCUAAUGCAGAAACGCCGCGGGCGGGAUGACGGUGUUCGGGUUGGAAACCGCAUUCAGCAGGGGCGAAGCUUGUGGUGACGGUACCUGAAGAAGAAGCACCGGCUAACUACGUG